ACGGAAUUUGGCAGAGAUGCCUUAGUGCCUUCGGGAACCGUGAGACAGGUGCUGCAUGGCUGUCGUCAGCUCGUGUUGUGAAAUGUUGGGUUAAGUCCCGCAACGAGCGCAACCCUUAUCCUUUGUUGCCAGCGGCUCGGCCGGGAACUCAAAGGAGACUGCCGGUGAUAAACCGGAGGAAGGUGGGGAUGACGUCAAGUCAUCAUGGCCCUUACGGCCAGGGCUACACACGUGCUACAAUGGCGCAUACAAAGAGAAGCGACCUCGCGAGAGCAAGCGGACCUCAUAAAGUGCGUCGUAGUCCGGAUUGGAGUCUGCAACUCGACUCCAUGAAGUCGGAAUCGCUAGUAAUCGUAGAUCAGAAUGCUACGGUGAAUACGUUCCCGGGCCUUGUACACACCGCCCGUCACACCAUGGGAGUGGGUUGCAAAAGAAGUAGGUAGCUUAACCUUCGGGAGGGCGCUUACCACUUUGUGAUUCAUGACUGGGGUGAAGUCGUAACAAGGUAAGCGUAGAUGA
rnacentral:rRNA from 1 species